GGGGAUGGGAGGGGGAUUCUAUAAAGAAUUUUUUGAGAUGGUGACCUUUAGGGUGACUAUGAAAGAUAAACUGGAGUUAUUCAAGCAUAGUGUUCCAGGCAGCAGAAGAGCUAGGAAAGGGCAAGGGUAUGGGGAUGUCUGGCACUUGAAGAAAUAUAUGAAGGCUAAUGUGAAACACAAGCAUUGUAUCCCCCAAAGCUCAUUCCAGGCAGGAUCAUGUAUAAUUAACCUCUUAGUAAGCCUCUACCAUUUUGGAAGAGUGUAUAGGCACAGUCUAUAACCAGAAAGUCUUCAGUUAUUCAGUCAUAGACACAUAGAGUUAUG
rnacentral:lncRNA from 1 species